rnacentral:rRNA from 1 species
UGGGGAAUUUUGGACAAUGGGCGAAAGCCUGAUCCAGCCAUGCCGCGUGCAGGAUGAAGGCCUUCGGGUUGUAAACUGCUUUUGUACGGAACGAAAAGACUCUGGUUAAUACCUGGGGUCCAUGACGGUACCGUAAGAAUAAGCACCGGCUAACUACGUGCCAGCAGCCGCGGUAAUACGUAGGGUGCAAGCGUUAAUCGGAAUUACUGGGCGUAAAGCGUGCGCAGGCGGUUAUAUAAGACAGAUGUGAAAUCCCCGGGCUCAACCUGGGAACUGCAUUUGUGACUGUAUAGCUAGAGUACGGCAGAGGGGGAUGGAAUUCCGCGUGUAGCAGUGAAAUGCGUAGAUAUGCGGAGGAACACCGAUGGCGAAGGCAAUCCCCUGGGCCUGUACUGACGCUCAUGCACGAAAAGCGUGGGGAGCAAACAGGAUUAGAUACCCUGGUAGUCCACGCCCUAAACGAUGUCAACUGGGUUGUUGGGUCUUCACUGACUCAGUAACGAAGCUAACGCGUGAAGUUG